UAUCUGCGUUGAUGGCAGAUUUUUGAGUAGGUUAAAUUUGUUAUUCUAGCAAACGUAUUGUUUAGACAAAGAUUUUUGCUGAUUUCGAAGGAAAAAAUACUAAAAUAAAAUGGACGGAAAUUUAAAUAAAUACACGCUCUAUCUGCCACAUUCAGCGAGGUGUCACAUUGGCAACGAAUUCACUUAGGAACCACCCGCCCCAAAUGACUCAUUCUAUGAGUAAUUCCUAAAAUUCACAAAGCGAAAACAUGAAAUAAUCUAAAAUACUGUGGCACGUCGAUACUAAAUGGCUUGUAAACAAAGAAUGAAUGGACAGAUUUAAAUGAAAAUGAAUGUGUGGACGAACAUAACAAAAAAAAUUAGGCUAGUAGCAACGCCCUCUCUUAUCGAACCGCAAAGCUUCCAGAAGUCCUUAAAAAUUCUUUAAUCAUUUUAUUGGCAUAAGUUGUAAAUAAAUAUUACUUCGCGCAUACAAAACUGAUAAGUCGAGACUAUUUUCCAGAAACCUGAAGCUUCGAAUAUAUAAAAAAGUCGUAAGACCCCUUACUCUCAUACGAUUACGAAGUUUGGGUGCUGAAAUCAAAUGAAGUUUGUUUCGAAAAAAAUAUUACUUUCUCAAAAUGUAUGGUCCUGCACGACUACAAAGAUGAUACCUACCGUAUUCAGUACAAUAAUGAGUUAGACAUACUUAUCAGAGGUGCAAAUGUUAUCAGAUAAGUUGAAGCACAAAUAAUUCGAUGGGACGAUCACACUCUGCGCAUGAGCAACGAAAGAACUGUAAAAAAAUCUUAGAAACAAAUACACAAGGCGACACAAGAAGAAGUCGGCCGAGGAAAAUAUGGAGAGAUUACAUAGAAGAAGACAUAAGAACUAUGGGCAUAUUUGAUGUUAAAAGAUUAGCUGAAGACUGUUUGACGUGGAGAAUAAUUGUAGGAGGGAAGUAAUGAUUCACCCGGAACUGGGACGCUAUUAUUACAGCAUACACAACUGUAAUGCUAUCCGUGGUUCAUAUUCAACUCAAAAGACCUCUUGAUUCGCUUUUGGGUAGCGAGGAGCUGCGAAUGGCGCCAGCUUAGCCUGAGAUUCGAGAUGAAACUCGUUUGCGGCUUUAUUUAAGUAUUUGAGAUUGUUUUUAUUUUCAUGACUCUUCUUAGCGCACCCUCCUAAGCGCCUUAUCCCAAUUUUAUUGAACCUUGUGUGUGCACUAACAUUUCAUAAGCAAUUUGAGAGAUGUAACGAUUUGUUCCGCUAAUGAAAUGAUGAACAAAAAACGCAGCUUAUAGGAGGGUAGAAAGUUGGCAUAAUAUUUGUGUUGGAAAAUUGAUGAAAUAAAUUAAGUCAAAUUUUAGCUUUAAUUUUUGAAAUUUCCACCCCAAACUAGUAUUAUAAGUAUGCAUGGCAUGUUUUAUCUACGAGAUGUUACAGAAUAAUUAAUAUAACUUUUUCACCCUCAAAGUCUCACAAAAGUUUUAAUUUUACUUUAUUUUGCAUUUGCUUUACAUACAUUUUAUGAUUAAUUCUGGUUAGACACCAAACGCCACAAAAUGUGCGCAUGGGCAGACAAGCACGGCAAUCAAAAAUAAAACCCUUAGAUCUUAAACUCAAAGGUAUAUUCUGAUGCAUUGUCAGGUAGUUGGACGCUCCAAUGACGACAAUGGUUCUUCGCUACCAAGCCGUCUCUGUACCUAUUUCGCUCAGCCUAUUAUCGUUGAAUUAAUUCUCAUGACCAACAGGCUGAGGUAUGAAUUUUAGUCACUUCUUACUUACCGCGAGCAAAUUCUAACCCCCUCACUCACUAAAGGUCAUCGACAUUUGCACUAAAAAUAUGUUUCGAAGUAUUGAUUAUUUAAAUGUGGUGUUUAUUCCUGUGACCAAAGCAAAAAACUGCCUAAGUCGACUUUAGAGUAAAAAACAGAACUCUGUUGUAUUCUAUUUUUUACUAACAAAAGUUUAUAUUUAGGUAAUGUUCCUACCACACUGAUAAAAACAAAAAGUCUAAAAGCUUGGGUGGUGGCCAAAUAAGACUCGCAUUUGUCUAAGAUAAAUAUAUAUGGAUAUAAAGUGCUUCUUUUGACUUAGUCGUUUAUUUCUUGCAGCCAAAAAAUUAGUGAUUGUUUUAUACUUAGAACUUUAUGU